UUUUAAGUUGCAUUUGUGAAGGUACUUCUAAACUAUAGUAAAUUUUUCCUGGACAGACCCCUGCUUACAGAAAAUUAAACAACAUCCUUGCCUAAUCAGGGAUUUCAACUCUACACAGUCCCUUCGGUUUAUUGAAAUAACUAGGAAAUUCACCAAAAAGUUUAACAUUUACCUCUAAUUCCGUUAUCUGGGGACAAGAUUAUCGGGCACUACACGGUUUAUUUAAUUCCAACUUUAUAGUUGGCAAAGUUAGUUGUCUUUGAAUUUAGUUGUGUAAAUUUGACGUAUCUUCCUGAGGAGUAUGGAAUAUCCUUCACUGUUACUAUAGAUAAGCUUACUAUUUAUAAUGAAACCAUAUCAG